GAUUAAGCCAUGCAUGUGUCAGUACAAACCAAUAUAAGGUGAAACCGCGAAUGGCUCAUUAAAUCAGCUAUGUUUCAUUGGAUCUGUACCCCCCAUUUACUUGGACAACUGUGGUAAUUCUAGAGCUAAUACAUGCACACAUAGUCCCUGACCGUGAGGGAAGGGCGCUUUUAUUAGUUCAAAACCGGUCGGGCCUCGGUCCGUAAACCCANCCUGUGAUGACUCUGAAUAACUUUUGGCUGAGCGCACGGUCUCCGUACUGGCGCCGCAUCUUUCAAGUGUCUGCCUUAUCAGCUUUCGAUUGUAGGUUAUGCGCCUACAAUGGCUAUAACGGGUAACGGGGAAUCAGGGUUCGAUUCCGGAGAGGGAGCCUGAGAAACGGCUACCACAUCUAAGGAAGGCAGCAGGCACGCAAAUUACCCACUCCCGGCACGGGGAGGUAGUGACGAAAAAUAACGAUGCGAGACUCAUCCGAGGCCUCGCAAUCGGAAUGAGUACACUUUAAAUCCUUUAACGAGGACCCAUUGGAGGGCAAGUCUGGUGCCAGCAGCCGCGGUAAUUCCAGCUCCAAUAGCGUAUAUUAAAGUUGUUGCGGUUAAAAAGCUCGUAGUUGGACUUAAGUUCUGGACUGACGGUUCACCGCCCGGUGCUUACUGUCACGCUCCGAACCGCUCAUUAAUUUGAGCCCUGCCGGCUUGCACGGGGUGCUCUUCACCGAGUGUCCCGAGUGGCCGGCAUGUUUACUUUGAAAAAAUUAGAGUGCUUAAAGCAGGCUACUUGUAUGGCCUGAAUGUCUAUGCAUGGAAUAAUGGAAUAGGACCUCGGUUCUAUUUUGUCGGUUUUCCUUAUCGGAACCCGAGGUAAUGACUAAUCGAGACAGGCGGGGGCAUUCGUACUGCGACGCUAGAGGUGAAAUUCUUGGACCGUCGCAAGACGAACUACUGCGAAAGCAUUUGCCAAGGAUGUUUUCAUUAAUC
rnacentral:rRNA from 1 species